rnacentral:rRNA from 1 species
AUUGAACGCUGGCGGCAUGCUUUACACAUGCAAGUCGAACGGUAACAGGCCGCAAGGUGCUGACGAGUGGCGAACGGGUGAGUAAUGCAUCGGAACGUGCCCAGUCGUGGGGGAUAACGCAGCGAAAGCUGCGCUAAUACCGCAUACGAUCUCUGGAUGAAAGCGGGGGACCGAAAGGCCUCGCGCGAUUGGAGCGGCCGAUGUCAGAUUAGGUAGUUGGUGGGGUAAAGGCCCACCAAGCCAACGAUCUGUAGCUGGUCUGAGAGGACGACCGGCCACACUGGGACUGAAACACGGCCCAGACUCCUACGGGAGGAAGCAGUGGGGAAUUUUGGACAAUGGGCGCAAGCCUGAUCCAGCAAUGCCGCGUGCAGGAAGACGGCCUUCGGGUUGUAAACUGCUUUUGUACGGAACGAAACGGUCCGGGCUAAUACCCUGGGCUAAUGACGGUACCGUAAGAAUAAGCACCGGCUAACUACGUGCCAGCAGCCGCCGUAA